UGCGAUUGCGAUUGCGAAUGCGAAUGUGAAUGUGGAAGCGACCGAAGGGUAUUGAGCUCUCGUAGCCAAGGCCGAAUAAAAGUUCUCCAAAAUUAGGGAUUUCAGAGGUCGGCUUUUUCCUCUUUACUAUAUUUGAGUUUGUGUUCAAUAAGCGUAGGAUCAAGAACAACUUGGCUUUUUUGAAUUAUUCUUUUCUGGGAUCAUAGUUUUCAAUAUUUCUGAUAUGACAUCAUAUGAGUUAGUUUUUGGAUGUUUAUCUGAAAUCUAUCCAGAGAGGAGUGGCGAAGUGGGGUAACGGGAUAACUUAAUUGCUCCUGUCAACUGUAUUCGAUCAGACAAGCUUUAUCAUGGAUUGCACUUGAUUAUAUGAGAUUCAAAUAUAGUUACAAUUUAUUUGAAUUAAAGGAAACAUUGGCUCUUUUGAAGUCCAGUAUUCAAAAUUUAUGCACGAUUAUGGAAAUUUCAACAAGAGAAUGGGCACAAGCUAGUGGAAGCAGGUCUUAAGAGACGGGAAAUGGUGCAUCAGCUCAAAAUGUUGGUGGCUGAGGCUAAGAGGGCUUUCCAGGAAACUGACUUCAAGGAAUGGAAGCAGGUGAUUCGGGACAUAACUAAAAUUCUUAAAGUGGACACAGCUUUUAUGAAUAUCAGGCAUCUGAGAUACAGCAUUAUGAUGGAUCUCGAUCCAGAUUGUCUACCAUGUGUUGCCUGCACCAAAAGAAAGCUAAGAUUGAGAGAUGGGAUACUUUGCAGCUACCAUCCCAAUGAGGUUAAGUUCUCAGAGCUCACUCUUGAUAAUUUCAGAAUGCUUCAAUGUUUGGAGUGGGAACCCAGCGGCUCAUUUUACCAAUCAAGUGGAAUCACUUCUACUGGUGUUGGGACCAACACUGGUCAAAAUGGGGGCCUUCCAGGGUCUAUUCGUAUUAAUUAUUCUCAGGAGACGGUUGGUCCUACAUUGCCACCAAAUACUCCCAAAGCAGUCUUGUAUCGUCCAUCGAUCACACAUUUCAUCGCUGUCAGUGUAUAACCUAGGAGUGGCUUCUCUUUGCUGUUACUUCUGUCGUUUGUGUAGAACAUGUGGGGAUUCUAUGAGAUGCUGUGACAAUAAUGAUCUAUACAACAAUAAAUCGCACUUUCAGAAGCACUUCAGGUUGUUCUUCUGAAGUAAGAUUGGCUGAACUUGCUCAACCAAGAUGCUCUUACUGGUGGAGUUAUUUGCACCACAUAAAAUUGAACUCAUACAGUUAUAGAGUGUAGUUUAUAGGUUCUGGCCACUAUGUCUGAGGAGGUCCCUCCUGAUGGGGUUUCUUGAUAUACAUAUUUGCUUCGGGAAGUGUUGCACAUGCUUUGAUGUCUCCAGCCCGCAUGGGAAAUUACAUUGGUGAUACGGAGAACACUAUCAAUAGCAUACAGCCUAAUAUGAUUCAAUCAGAUUCUGUCUCUACCCUGCCAUCUUGCUCUGCAUGUGAUAGCAUGACAUCUUCGUUAGAGAAAAGCAACAUUUCAGGUUGCCAUUCUGGUGGCUUAAAUCUUGGCUCUUGUGGAAAUGGAGGUACACUUACUGAUCUAUAAAGUUUUUGGGUUGCAAUUACAGAUGAAGUAAUCUUUUACUGUUACCUGCUUUGCCUAGCCUGGUUCCAAGUUUUAAACACACAACUUUCAGGAUUGAGUUCGCACAUUACUCCAUCUCUCUUUCUUCAGUCUAACAUGGUGUACGAUUUCCUUGCUCUUGUUUAUCCUUGUGCAAUCUUUGGUUCUUUCUUCUUUAUUAUCUGUUAAACUGAGAGCCUCAGGCAGUCAUUUCUGAACCAUCUCUUUUUCUAUCUUCUUUACAUCGCGUAUCGUUCAGUAUAUUUUGGUCAAGAUCCACAAUGAUGGAGUUCAGGGUGGUAGUUUUACACAUGCAUUCAUGCAGUGGAGUGAACUAUGACAUAUGC